rnacentral:rRNA from 1 species
UACGUAGGGUGCAAGCGUUGUCCGGAAUUAUUGGGCGUAAAGAGCUCGUAGGCGGUUCGAUAAGUCUGCUGUGAAAGUCCAGGGCUCAACCCUGGAAAGCCGGUGGAAACUGUCGGACUAGAGUUCGGAAGAGGCGAGUGGAAUUCCCGGUGUAGCGGUGAAAUGCGCAGAUAUCGGGAGGAACACCAAUGGCGAAGGCAGCUCGCUGGGACGUUACUGACGCUGAGACGCGAAAGCGUGGGGAGCAAACAGG